CCCCUCCGCCCUGCCCUACCACCGCUGCGCUCCCGUGCCUCCCCUACACAUGCCCCGCGCUCCCGUCAUCAUCCUACAGGCCCAGGCUACCUCCUAUAGUGGAACCCCAGGCGGGGGGACCUAUCCUCCGGCGCCGGAGGGGACGGCGGCCUGAAGAACGACGAGUCGCUGGAGUCGUUUUCGAGGGAGGACGAGCAGCGCACGUAGUUGUGGUCAACCGAGAGAGCGCGCGCAUGUCGCUGCAGAGGAAGAAGCAGUGCACUGGCCGCCUCCGCCAUGUGAGAGGCUCCUGCUUCCGGAGGCGAGGAGCUUGUCGGCGUCCAACUCCUCAAGGAGAGGCGCACUCCACAUGCUCGCCAAGCUGCCCCACCCACCCCAUGCACUCCUACACACCACGGGAAGAUAUCAGGUGAUACCAUGUAUUAGGUGAUACCAUGAUACGAGCUUCUCAGAUCCGACGGCUCCCCGGAGUUCUUGAGCAUUUUGCAAAAAGGUCAUCCAGGAGUCUUAAAAUUUCGCGUAGGUACAAUAGACUUUCGAGAGCGCCGUCGGAUCUGAGAUCCAACGGCCCAGAAGCCUAUAUCAUGGUAUCACCUAAGUGUUGGUAGCAUCUGAUAUUUUCCCUACACACCACUACUAGCUUGCUGUGACCCUCUCCCAUGGCAUCAGUGGCUGCCGUGGUAGGUUCAACAAGCAUUUUCUGACCUCUUAAGUGUUUGUUAUAAUGCCUACAAGAAGUCAAGCAAAAAAUUAUUUCAAGUUUGUACCGAUGUUUAUGGUAGUUGGAGAUUAGGGGUAAACAAUAUUUUCUUGCUGGCUAAUGAUUGUUUCAGUUUGUUAUGUGGGAAUUUUGUUAUAGCAAAAGCUGAAUAGGUGUUCGUCGGCUGCCGUCAUCUUUGGCUGCCAGUCCGCUUUAUGGGUACGGUUGCUACAACUUAUUAAUUAGAAUCAGUCCCGUUCAUGUCUUUGUUGGGUCGAGUGCCCUUUUGCAAUGGAAUUUAUUUUGUGAAGAACCGAUUUGGCCACAUCCUAACAGAACAUAAAAAUCUGACGAAUCAAUCUGGCCACAUCAUUUUACACUUAUUGAUUGAUCUGGGUAAUUUGUUUGCAAUUUGCUGUGCAAAUCAAUCUAGCUGAUUUUUAGAGUUAAUUACAAUAAGUGAAAUAUAACCUCAUGAGGUCUCUUCACUAUGUUUAGAGUUGAUUUUUUGAUUCAAACAGAUUUAGAUCAUGUAUUUGUGAAUGGCGUAGGUCUGAAGUGCUUUCAGCCAUUUUUUUUUAGAAAAGGAGGAUGACCCCCGGCCUCUGCAUCUGGAAGAUGCAUACGGCCACUUUAUUGAUUAUUCCCGAGGACCUUACAAAGUGUUACAACAAUAAGCCUGAAUCCACCAACUAGGCAACAUAUGCCGCUACUCCUAUCCAUAUGAUGAAGGGGUGCUAGCUGGGCCCCUACCCAGACCAGUCACCUAAACCUAACAUCGAAAGCCGGAAUCCCUAGCCUAGCCACAUACCGGGUCUGGGGCAUAAACCGGUCUGACGCACUCACAGGUGUCGUCUCCACCAUCUUCCACUGGUCCAUCUCCAAGCAGAUUGAGGUGCCAUCCUUGGCAGGCCCUCCGCCAUCAACGCCACCAUGACGCCGAAUGACGACCACCACCUACGGUAGAACAUCACCAAGCAGAUGGAGCGCUACCACAGGACGAAGAUCAGCGGUAGAAUAGAUAAAUCGCCGCACAUAUUGCCGCCGCCAAACACCUCACACGCACCACGAAGCGCCCACCGUGCUUCCGGGGACCCCAGGCGACGCCUUCAAGAAGGAGCGCGAUGAAGGGACGACGCCGUUGCCCGCAAGGGGAACUAGAGCUUUUGCCCAAAUGAAGAGCACAGUGAGAGACGGGAUAGGACCUCGACAAGGCCUCCAAGAAGGGAACCGACGCCCACAAGGCGCCGCCAUUGUCGUGGCCUCCGCCGACGGCCAAGGGUUUCCCCCGAUCCCGCCCCCGUCCCAACCACCCGGCCAAAGACCUGGCCAGGGGAGCGCCCGCAGCCGGAGAAGGCAUCGGACUUCAUCGUAGCAGGCACGCCGGGUGACGGGGCACCCCGACCCACCGUAGUAGACGUCCACCGAGACCUCGCCGCCCGCACAGCCGAAGUCGCGGACCACCAGCUCCCACGGCCGUCGCCCGUCAAGAGGCCACGCCGUCCACGCCGUCCGAGGCCGCCGCCCCGGCAUCCACCCACCGCGCACAUCCCAUCAAGACACGGAGAACGACCCACAUCGCCGCCACCAGGGAGACCACGCCGCGAACACCCUAGCCGGGCGACGAAGCAGGGCCGCGCCGGCCAGAUCCGGGCGGAUCCGGCGAUCCCCGGCCCACCAGCCGCCAGAGAGGAGCCAGCCCCGAUCCAGGGCCGCUCCGGUCUGAUCUGGCAGUUCGGCGGCCACCAGGAGUUGAGGAGGCGGGCGGCAGCGUCUGAUGCGGGAAGGGGGCGUCUCCACGUCGAGGCGGGUGCGCGGGGAAGCCCCGCCGUCGCCUACUGCCGCGGGGGCGGCUGCCGGCGGCGGCGGGGGAGGAGGAGGGGAGGCGAGGGAAACCUGGGGGCGGCUAGGGUAUCGCCCCCGAGUCGCCCGGAGCGGACGACGCGGGGGACCCGGAGCGGAGUGCUUUCAGCCAUAGCAACAUGCGCAUACAAGUGCUUGGAAGCAGGCAUGUUGAUUGAUUUCUGGGAGACUAGCAUGCACGAAGAAGCGAGCUAGAUAAGCUUUCGGCCGUAGCUCACAAAUACAUUCUAACAAAUUUCUUCCCAGUUGAACUAUUUUGUCCUACCGCAGAUGCCUAAUCAUCGGAACUGUGAGCAAAUAGGUCGGAACUAUGAGCAAGUAGGCCAUCGUUUACAAUUUCAAUGAUUAGUGAUGUUGAAGCUAAUCAUUCGACUUCACUGCCUUCCCAACAUAUAGAUAGAAAAUCAGGAGGCCGGUUCUUUGUCAAGAUCGAGAGGGUAUUCCCCGUUUAAAGAAGUCUCACUUGGUAAGGUUCUACAACCACUCAGGUUUUAGCCAAGCCAAAUAAAGACAGAUCCCUCUAGAUUGUUCUCCAUUCAUGUCAAUCCAUUUAUUUUAUUGUAUAUUUUUAGGGAAUGUUUCUCAUCUGCUUUUAAUGUGAUUAUUUUUUAUUUAUUUUCCGGAUUUCUGUGCAUGUUAUGUGCCAACUUCAACAGUUCUGUUUGGCUAAUAUAAAGUAGGGACCUUUUCUACAUAAUAAUACAAAGAGUUUACUCAAGGAUGUUUAUCAACUAGCAAGGUACUGUGUACAAGCUGAAUGUGAACUUUCUGAAAAAGAUGCAUGGCAGUUGUAUCUUAUGAGAGAAAAUAUUUAUGUUUGCAGUUUCAAAUACUGAAUAAUCUUCAGAAUACAUAUAUCAUGUUAAACCAAGUGGUUGUAGAGCUUUACGUUUUGUCCUUAACUUCUAUACUGAAUAAUGACAUGAGAAGAUCUGAUUUUUUUCUAUCUGCCUUUCUCCUACUCAUUUUGAGCAAUCAAUGAUCUCCCCUGCUACUGCUUCCAGUAUGCAUCUUCUGGAAUUCAAGGGUCAGAACAUUCCUCUGGACCAUCAAGUAUGGUCUGCUUCCAGCAAGAUUUUUUUUUUCUAAUUUAUGCAUCAUUGAGUAUCAUGAUGUUUGUACUAUUUUUUUUCUUGUCCGCAGACAUCUCGGAGAUGCUGAUAAAAUUAGUCACCAAUUUUGGAAAUCGACAAUGUCUAUAUGGACAGCAAAGCUUGAUGUUGUAUUUUCCACUUACUCUACCUUCUACCACACACCACUGAACUUUUGCCUCCAGUGCAAAGAAUUAUACAUACCGCACAUUUCUGCUA